rnacentral:rRNA from 1 species
GAUGAACGCUGGCGGCGUGCCUAAUACAUGCAAGUCGAGCGAACAGAUGAGGAGCUUGCUCCUCUGACGUUAGCGGCGGACGGGUGAGUAACACGUGGAUAACCUACCUAUAAGACUGGGAUAACUUCGGGAAACCGGAGCUAAUACCGGAUAAUAUAUUGAACCGCAUGGUUCAAUAGUGAAAGACGGUUUUGCUGUCACUUAUAGAUGGAUCCGCGCCGCAUUAGCUAGUUGGUAAGGUAACGGCUUACCAAGGCGACGAUGCGUAGCCGACCUGAGAGGGUGAUCGGCCACACUGGAACGGAGACGCGGUCCAGACGCCUACGAGAGGCAGCAGUAGGGAAUCGGCCGCAAUAGGCGAAAGCCUGGCGGAGCAACGCCGCGUGAGUGAUGAAGGUCUUCGGAGCGUAAAACUCUGUUAUUAGGGAAGAACAAAUGUGGAAGUAACUAUGCACGUCGUGACGGUACCUAAUCAGAAAGCCACGGCUAACUACGUG